rnacentral:tRNA from 1 species
AAUAUGUUGGCAGAUUAGUGCGGUUGAUUUAGGAUCAGAUUAAGAGGGUGUUCCUCACUUAUUA